UACGGGGGGGGCAAGCGUUGUUCGGAAUUACUGGGCGUAAAGGGCUCGUAGGCGGCCAACUAAGUCAGACGUGAAAUCCCCAGGCUUAACCUGGGAACUGCGUCUGAUACUGGAUGGCUUGAAUCCGGGAGAGGGAUGCAGAAUUCCAGGUGUAGCGGUGAAAUGCGUAGAUAUCUGGAGGAAUACCGGUGGCGAAGGCGGCAUCCUGGGCCGGUACUGACGCUGAGGAGCGAAAGCAUGGGGAGCGAACAGG
rnacentral:rRNA from 1 species